GGCGGGAGACCAAAAUAAGAAAUAGUCGUAUAUACAUACUGACGAAAAGACAUCACAGGUGCCCCAGCCCCUGUCACCACGCGAACAACAAGAACUAGUGUACAUGAACAUGAACACUCGUACUUUUCGGUUUAGUCAAAUGCAAAGACUGGGGAUCGGGAUGUAUUUGCAUGAAGUGGUGUUCGAACUGGCCGAGCAGAGCUUUCGUAAACGUCAAGAAUUUGUCUGAUAAGUUGUUGACAUGAGUAGUAGGUGUUAUUUUGCUUGAACCGAAAUCAUUGUGAUUGGCAAGGCAAGGCGCAGAGCAUCCUGGAAUUAACUUUCACAGUCUUGUCAUUUGCCUUGGUAGCCGAGCUAGCUCUUGACUGCCAUCUAUCCUGUGAAAUGGAGAAGCAAAUAGAGAAAACAGAUGCCCUCAGGCAACCAGAACAAAGACGUCCUAUAUUUGUUUUGCUCAGGUGACUUGAACUCUCCAAACAAAGGGAUGUGGAUCCGCCAAAACAGCAGGUUUUGAAUAUCUCAUUCUAGUGGAGAUCUUGUUAUCUCUAUGAGGACUGUCAGCCUGUGAUGUUUAAGAGGAAAGGUAUGUUUGCUACAAAGGCUUUAUGUUGAGUUUUCCCUGAACUCAUUGAAACUAAAACAACCAUAUUAUGAAAAAAUCAUUGCAAUCAUUGUUGAGCAGACAUGGAGCUUGUGCUGCACUGGACAAAUGGAAUUUCUUGAAAAGGUACUUUUAUGAACUAGCGUGAUUGACAGCCUUUGUCUCAGAGAUUUAUUUCACCUUGUGCCUCGAUACUUCUUGGUGCGGUGUGUUGAUCAAUAAGACGAUUGGAUCUGUGUUACUUUCCUUACAUUUUGUGCC